GGUUGAUCCUGCCAGUAGUAUACGCUUGUCUCAAAGAUUAAGCCAUGCAUGUAUAAGUAUAAACACCUUUAUACAGUGAAACUGCGUACGGCUCAUUAAAUCAGUUAUCAUUUCUUUGAAAGUGCAACUCUACAUGGAUACCCGUAGCAAAUCUAGAGCUAAUACAUGCGUAGAACCUCGACUUUUUGGAAGAGGUGUGUUUAUUAGAUUCGAACCCUCCAGCUUUCGGGCUGGUUGUUGGUGAUUCAUAGUAACCUUUCGGAUCGUUCUUUUACUAGAGCGAUGGUUCAUU
rnacentral:rRNA from 1 species